rnacentral:rRNA from 1 species
GUGUCAGCAGCCGCGGUAAGACAGAGGGUGCAAACGUUGCUCGGAAUUACUGGGCGUAAAGCGCGUGUAGGCGGGUCGGAAAGUCAGGUGUGAAAUCCCCGGGCUCAACUCGGGAACUGCACUUGAAACUUCCGAUCUCGAGUACCGGAGAGGGUAGUGGAAUUCCUGGUGUAGAGGUGAAAUUCGUAGAUAUCAGGAGGAACACCGGUGGCGAAGGCGGCUACCUGGACGGUCACUGACGCUGAGACGCGAAAGCGUGGGGAGCAAACAGGAUUAGAAACCCCUGUAGUCC